rnacentral:rRNA from 1 species
AUGGUGCCCGUCGGUCGACAGCUGCUACGACCGCUCCACGCUCAUCUGCGAGGCCAUCGCGCGCCGCCUCUUCCCCAAGGGCUCGGCCCGGAUCUUCCCGAGGACAUGCCGGACGCGCACUACGCCUACCGCGCGCGGGAGCGCCUCAGCAAGGAGGCCUACGUGCCGCUCCGCCAUGCCCUCGAGCUCCCCGAGACCUUCAUGUCGGCGGGCGAGUGGGGGAAGGUGCUGUACACGCGCGUGGCGUCCGUCGCCAUGAAGAACUAUAAGGACCACUUCAUCUAUCACGACCAAGAGCGCUUCAACGGCUACCUCGCCGACGUCAAGUCGGGAAAGAAGAAGAUCGCGGCGGGCGCCCUGCCGCCGCACAAGAUCCUGGAGUCGGCCGUCGACGGCGAGGACGAGGUCGCCGACCUGCAGUGGAAGCGCAUGGUGGACGACCUGCUGGCGCUGGGCAAGCUCAACAACUGCCUCGCCGUGUGCGACGUGUCGGGCAGCAUGCACGGUGUCCCCAUGGACGUCUGCGUCGCGCUGGGGCUCCUCCUGUCGGAGCUCUGCGAUGAGCCGUGGCGCCACCGCGUGAUCACCUUCAGCGCGGCGCCACAGCUGCACCGCAUCCGCGGCGAGACCCUGUCGGAGAAGGCGGAGUUCAUCUGCGAGAUGGAGUGGGGCAUGAACACCGACUUCCAGGCCGUGUUCGACCAGCUCCUGCGCGUGGCCGUCGCCGGCAAGGUCCCUCCGGAGCGCAUGGUGAAGAAGGUGUUUGUGUUCAGCGACAUGGAGUUCGACGAGGCCGUGGGAGACGGACUACGAGGCGAUCACGAGGAAGUACGCCGAGGCCCGCAGGUGGUGUUCUGGAACCUGCGGGCCUCGCGCUCGGUGCCGGUGACGGCGGAGCAGAAGGGGGUGGCGCUGGUGAGCGGCUUCUCCAAGAACAUGCUCAAGCUGUUCCUCGGCGGCGACUACACCCCGUCGCCCAGGGCCGUCAUGGACAAGGCCAUCUCCGGGCCCAUGUACGAGAAGCUUGUCGUGUUCGACUGA